rnacentral:lncRNA from 1 species
CUUGUCUGAUGUGAUCAUUAACCUUUCUGGAAAAUGCAGCUGGCAGUCCUCUGAGGUUUGUCAUUAGAAUGUGAGGAGAGCCACACAGAUAUUGCACAGACUAUUUACAGAUUGUUUGGUUUACUUUAAGAGCUAUUACUCCACUUGCCUGUGGCAGGAAAAUGAGAUUUCAACAAUUUUUGUGUGUGUUUUUGAUUUUUGUGAUGAGUCUUCUCCUAAUCAACGGACAGAGACCAGGUAGGACUUUCAUACAUUUGUAUGGAGUAACUUGUUUUUAUGCCUGUUUAUGUCUGUGGUUCUGAGUACAACUGUAUUUAUGUUGAGAGAGUUGCUUAGGCGUGUUUGCAAUAAUAUUGGGGGUAAAUGUGUAGGAUUUCUGAAGUAAUGCGAUCCUGCUGGUGACAGGAUAGAUCAGAAUAUAUGAAAAAGCAAUUGUAUGUUGAAGUAUUGCUAAAUAUUUUACCACUAUUUUUCUAAAUGCAAAGAAAAUCUAAAUCUAAGCUAUUGUGGAUGGGCUGUUCUUACAAAUAGAAAGAAAUGCAAAUCUUAGUUUAUUAAUUAAAGAGUUUAAUAAAUCAACAACUUUUAAUUAGAAUGCAAAAUUCAGAGCAGUUUCAUCCAAAGAGCAUGUAGCUGGCAGAGGAGAGCAAUGUUAACUGAGUGUACAACAUGUAAAAAUCAUAGCAUGGCAAAUGUAGAUGAAAUCGUAAAAUGAGUCAAUAGUUGCAAUUUCUAGUUAUGUAAUAGGUAGAUCACCUAAAACAAAGAAAGCACAGUUUGUAGUAUUGUGUUUAUAGAGCCAAAAAUGUGCAUGAUCAAGACAUAUAAUAUUAAAUUUACCUGACAUCUUUUUCAAGAAUGUGUUAUAUUUAACCAACAGGAAUUUAGUAGACAAAAUUAUUUGAAUGCAUUUUUACUUCAAAGCCAAAUGACUUAGAUUUUAAAGUACCAGUAGGUAAAAAAUUUAGAAAGUUAAAGUUUUCUGACACACAAAAACUGCAAACCCAAGCUUUAAUAGAAAGGUGAUAAUCCAAAGGUUAUAUUUACUUGAUAAUGUACUUCUUCAGUAGAACAGAAAUGGUACAUAACUUGUUAAAAACUCAGACUUUUAGUUAAUUAGAAGUUUGAUUGGCAUGAGGUUAUUUCAAAUGAUGUCCCAGGCUGUCCUUUUACAUAAGUAAGAAAAACAGUCCAAGUCAGCAACUCAGAAAGCAGCAACUGCUAUUCAAACCACUUCUUCUUUUCCAAAAUACCAAACACUGGGCAAUGUUCUGUGAUUAAGUUCCUAUAUAAAAGAAUAUUUAGGAAGAAAUUACAUGAAAGGAGGAGGAUAUUACUAUUAAGAUCUUGCUAUUAACACUGUUAGGAAUCUACUUUGUGUAUAUGCAUCAGAUUAUUUAUGCUACAAUCAUCUAUGAACAAAUGGCAAAUAACCACAGAACAGUUUGACUGCAAAUACAAUUUUAUAUUCUCCAGAUUAUACAAAUUGAUUUUUUUAAAAAGGCUCCUAAUCCUUCUUUUUCCUUCCUUUAGCUAAUUUGGCCCUAAGAAGAAAACUGCACAGACAUAACUGUCUUCAGAGGAGAUGUAUGCCUCUCCAUUCCCGAGUCCCGUUCCCCUAAGGUAUUUAUGAUAGAAAAUUGUUUUACUGCAUUUAGUUACCUAUUCCAAAAAAAUGCAUUUUUGUAUUUUGUAAUAUGUAAUUAUAAUUUAUGAUGACAUAAAAGUUUCAGGAAUGUGUACUAAUGAAUGAAAGAGGGAAUUGAUAUGAUGUUUGGGAAUUACUUGUAUAGUUAAAGAAGAAGAUAGACUAGAGUAAAAAAAUCCUGAUAUUGUUGAACCUAAGUGAUAGUCAAUACUCUUGUAUGUGGUUGAAAAUUUUCAUAAUUAAAAAAUCAGACAUCAGGAGAAUUUAAUUAUAAACAGUAUGUUUCAGGGUUUUAAAAAACAUUGAAAAACACAUUUUCCAUUUAGACCUCUAUGUACUUGAGAGCAUUUGGACAUAUUUACUGAACACCACUAUAACAAUACCAACACUUCCAAAUUUCCAGCCUCAACACUUCCAAAUUUCACAUAUAAAUCAACUUAAUAUUAAUGGCAUGGCAGCUUUCCAGCCUCACUAACAGUACUGGUCUUGAUGACUGCAUCUUUAAGAAUAAAUUCAGAAUAGAACUUUGCUCCUCCUUUUUUGUUUUAUACUCACUAAGAAGCCAAUGAUUUUACCACCUCACUUCAGUAAUACUACUGGCAUCAGUCUUCAAACAGUGCCCAGGUUUAAGUCAUUUCACUCUAAAAACUAACUUGACAUCCUAUUGUAAUUAUUUUAAGCUCUUUGGUUCAUUUAAAAUAUGUCUUCCUAAAGAAAAUACAUAGAAAUAUCCCACAGCUGGUUAACUUACACAGGCAUUUGCUAAAUUAGCUUUUUCAACUGGUCUGUAAACUCUAGCUUUUAUGGCUUUGCUCAUUCAGUGCAAAGAAUAUGUGCUUUUCAUACCCAGUGGAAGCCUUGUAGUAGGAAAUUAAAUGAAGUGAUAAGCAUUUAUCAGAGGACUGAGACAAAAAGCCAAGAUAUCUAUGCCUUAUCUGCAACAAAUUACUCUUUGCUAUCGAAAAAUGUAAAGUAGGUUGGGUGGAAGAAUCCAGAAAGAUACAGUGGGGGUUGCUGAGAAGAAGCCAAUUCACAGUGACAGAAAUAUGCUUUAAAAGGAUUACUAUGUUAAAAUAUCCUUUGGUGUGCGUCAGCGUUUCCAGCAGUGUUUCCACCUAUGUAGGUGAGACUGAAAAGCUGGGCUUAUAAGGAGUGAAGAACUUCCAGAUUUUCCCAGCACUCCUCUGUAAAUAACAAAGAGGAGAGGAGGCAUUUCACAAUUGCAAGAGAAUUCCUGUAUAUACAAAGAUGCCUUUCAAAAUACAAACACAAGUCCUUAGUUAGCCAUAGAUUAUUUUGGCUUUCACCUCACACAACCUACCAUAAAAACUGAGCUACAAGUAAACAAGAUAAGAGUAGUGAAAUUUGAAAACGUAAGGGAAAUUUUGACUUGCAAACCAAAGGGGAAUUUAAAUACAAGCUAUAUAAACCUUUUAAUAAUAACAAUCCUUCACAAAAGCUAGCUGAUAGUUUUGUAGAACUGCUCAGGUUACACAUCCAUUUUUAGUGUUUAGGCUAGUCCUAGAUCCAGCUACAGUUCUGUGAAGACUAUAUGAAAGUCACCUGUUGGAAGCUAGUGAUUAUUAUAAUAGUCAGUGGAAGAUAAACAUUAAGGUAAUUCCUCAAUGUCUUAGUCAGAACUAAAAAGUACUGCCUUCAGAUUUGACAACACACUUCUCACUGUCCUGAAUACUGUCUCACUUUCUAUGUCUUAAAAAAAGGCCACUCUGACAAGUAGGUAAAGACCCAAAUAGGAUCUAAGUAGUGGACUCUAAGGCAAAAACCACCCUUUCAUUUCUCCCUUUUUCUACAUUUUUUAGAUAAAAUCACAUGUGGUUGAUUCAGCUAGGGUUAAGUGAGACUGUAAAAAGAUAAACAAUUGACUUUGGAAGUUCUCCAGAUUAACCCAUUAGAGUGAUUUUGACCUUUAGCUCAUUUGAUCAAAUGACUUAUCUUUACUCUGUAUAUUGUCUUUUUUUUUUUUUUCUUUUGUGGUGCUGGGGAUUGAACCCAGGGCCAUAUGCACACAAGACUGAGCUACAUCCCCAGUCCUGCUCUGCAUAUUAUCUUUACUCUGUUCCUUUUGCAGGCUCCUAGAGUCCUUCUCAGUGAUCCUCAGCAUUAUUUCCUACUUUAUAUAACUGAGUCAAUUAAAUAGAAGACCUAUGCUGCUUACAGGGCAUUUCCUUGAUAUUUGUUUUUCAAAGAAAUGUUUUAACAUUACCUUCAGCUCUGAGUGAGAAGAGCAAUAGGAGAAGGGAUGUCAGGAAACGGGAACUCACAGAUUAAUGAGGGAACUACAGAGUGGGAAAUAAAACAGGGGCUUAAAAUUCAAAUAUCUUCCCUCUGCCAACUGUACUAUCUCAUUACAUCAAUGCCUUUAUUUAUAAAUAUGCACUCUAGAUAACUACAUACCCUAUUAGUAAUACUCUAUUCAGUUCUUCCUUUUUUUCUUUUUUAGGUACCAGGGAUAGAACCCAGGGACAUUUUACCAUUGAGCUAUGUCCUCAGCUCUUUUUAUUUUUAAUUUUGAGACAGUCUCACUAAGUUACUCAGGGCCUUGCAAAAUUGCUGAGGCUGGCCUCAAACUUGUAAUCCUCCUCCCUCAGCCUCCAGAGUCUCUGGGAUUACAGGCAUGCACCACAGUGCACAGCCUCUAUUUUUUCUUAAUAUUUAUUUUUUAGCUAGGAUUAUAGCUCAGUUGGUAGAGUGCUUGCCUUGCAAGCACAGGGCCCUGGGUUCAAUACCCAGGACCAUCAAAAAAAAAAAAAAAAAGUUAUUUUAUCUAUUUUUAUGUGGUGUUGAGGAUUGAACCCAGAGCUUCGCAUGUGCUAGGCGAGCACUCCACUGAUAAGCCACAACCUCAGCACCUCUCAAUUUGGCUUUUUAAUAACAGUUGCAAUGCUAUGUUCAUGUUAGAAAAGUUUAUUUCUAACAGUAUAAAAGAAUAUAAAGUCAGAAGUAAAAGUUCCUUGCCCUCGCCUAUCGUUUAUUUUCAUUUCCUAGGCGUAAUGGCUUUGAAAAUGUACAUGGUAAUACACCAUUUUAAAUUACUUUUUUUCAAACUUGCUUUCCAUUCAAAAUGUCUCUAGUUCUCUAUUUUGUAUCUUAUUCUCACCUCCUUGAUCAGACCUCUGCUCUGCCUCCCAGCUCCUUCUCUAGUCAUCCUAUUGGCCUGCCAUUUCUCACCCCAUUCUGUCUGUGGGGCUUCCUGAAGCCCAGCUCUGCCUUCAGCACAGAUUUCCACUUCAGUGAAACACUUCAUCUCCAACAUUAGCAGGUCUCUGAGGAAGAACUCUUCUGCUCAUUUUUAAAAAUCUAUGAUAUUCAACCAGCUAUAUUUCAAACAUUUGGUUACCUCUAGUUCCCUUUUUUGUUUGUGUUUGUUUUGCAGUGCUAGGGCUCAAACAAUCCAGGGGCCCACGUGCUAGGUGAGCACUGUUAUACACUGAGCUACACCCCCAACUAGCUUCCUUAUAGCACUUCUAACUUCCUCUUCCAACUCACAACAGGAAAAAACUCCUUUUCGUGGAGAAAAGGAAGAUUAUGAAGCAUCUGUGACCCCAUAGUGCUCUCUAGUGACCAGCCCAUGAUCUUCUCACAGGCAAAUUUCUUGAAAUAGAGGCUGUUUUCUUUUCCUCGCAUUUCACUCUGAGAAAAUUCCUGUAGACUUCCUUCUGAAUACAGUUCAGUUCUGAUUUGUUACAUCACUAUAGAUCAAGUGGUGGAACGGAUUUUCCUUGGCUUCCAUGAUACCAUGCUUCUUUUUGUUUUUCCCUGGAACAAAUGACUAUUCUUUUUAGGACCCAUAUGGGUGGCCAAAUGCCUCCUUGGAAUCACCUUAGCUGCUCUAUAGGCACCUCGGGCCCAUGUCCAUAGCAUACUGGCAAAUCUCUACUAUGGCUUCUCUCAGACUUUUUCUUGCAUCUGUUUCCUGUUCCAUUAUCAUAUUCAGGAAGACCUUCCCUGAUAACUCUUCUUGUGAAAUGACAAUACCUUGCCUCACUCAAGAUACCCCAUCCCCUGGUUUGCUUUCUCCAUAACACCCAUUGUCAUCUGGCACAUGUAACAUAUAUUUACUUUGUUAUUAGGUUUAGUAUUUGCUUCUCUUCAUUACAAGAUAAGUUCUAUGAGAACAGAGAUUUCCCUCUGGUCCCAGCUGUGUGCCCACUGACUAUAGUAAGCUUUCUAGAAAUAUCUGAUGAAUGGGGCUGGGGGUGUGGCUCAGUGGUAGAGCACCCCUAGGCUCAAUCCCCAGUACCACAAAAUAAAUAAAUAAAAUAAACUGUAAAUCCAAUCAUGUUACAUCUUGAUGAAUAUUGUUAACUUCCCCCAUGACUUUCAGAACAAAGAGAACUGACAUAAUUUGGCAAAUAUCACUGAUAAGGUGUACCUCUCCAGUCUCAUCUAUCACCUCUUUCUUUUCCCCUCCCGUUUACCAAAGGGGACAAAAACUAAGACUGUUUACACCAUCUGAAUUCAAGCUCUGGCCACAUAGCUCAUUCUGGUGAACACGGGCAAUUCACUGACCUUCUCCAACUCUCCUUCCCCUUCUACAUCUGCAGAAUGGAACUAGUUAUGUACCUGUCUAUCAUAAGACAAUGUGGGCACAUAAUGAGUGCUAAAUAAAUAGUACCUAGAGUUCUUAUUGUUGUUACUUCAAAAACAAUCCACUCUCCACCUCUUGCUGCUCUUCAAGGUACACUUCUGCCUAUUCUUUACUUUACUAUCAUUCAUCCUACAGGAUAAUUCCCUUGAUUUUGAUACCCCACCAAUUUUAUUAAAUGCUCAUUUUUUGCUUUCAGAGCAUUAUUUGCAUACUUUCUGUCACAGUGCUUGAUCCGCUAUAUAGUAAUGUGUUAACUGACUGUACUCUACUCCCACUCCUCUACCCUGCCCUCUGUAUACUGUGAAUUCCUGGAAGGGUGGGUUUUAUUUAUUUUCAUAUCUGCAAUCCAAUAAAGUGCCUGGAACUCAGUAGACAUUCCACAAAUGUCCCCAAAAGGAAUAAAAUAAGGCCAGGCACAAUGGAGCCUACCUGUAGUGCCAGCUACUAGAGAGUCAGAAGUGGGAGGUCAGUUUGGGCAACAUAGUGACCAUGUCUUUAAAAAAGAAAGAAAAUGAAACUUUUUCUUAUUAUGUUAGCAUUUAAGACUCACUGUUAUCAUACCUGAACACAAUUUUCAGUUUUACUUUCUAAUAUUACCUGCCAAGCCACACUGAUUUCCUAUCUCUAUGCUGGAGACCUCUUGUUUUCGUUUUGUUUUGUUUUUCCAACAUUUCACCACAUAUAUUUAGAGACCUUUUGACUUCUAUGAAUUCCUUCCCUUACUUUAUCAAGUCCAGACUCUUCCCCUCCCCCAUGUUCUCUUCAAAUCCCAUUUUCUUCAUGGGGACUACCUGGCAUUAAUUAAAAUACUCUUCAGUGCCAGCAGGGUGGAACAGGCCUGUAAUCUCAACUGUCAGGAGGCUGAGACAGGAGGAUCAUGAGUUCAAAGCCAGCCUCAGCAAAAGCAAGGUGCUAAGCAACUCAGUGAGAUCCUGUCUCUAAAUACAAAAUAGGGCUGGCGAUGUGGCUCAGGGGUUGAGUGCUCCUGAGUUAGGGUCGAGUGCUCCUGAGUUCAAUCCCCGGUACCCCCUCCCCCACAAAAAAAAACUUCAUUCUCUCAUUGAUAAGUUUAUGAGAUUUGUUGUUGCGCUGAGCUACAUCCCUAGCCCUGUAUUAUUUUCAUUUUUGAGACUGGGUCUCUCUAAGUUGCCCAGGCUUGCCUCAAAUUUGCCAUCCUCCUGCCUCAGUCUUUUGAGUACUUGGAAUUGCAGGCAUGUGUCAUCAACACCCAGCUCAUUCCAAGCCUUGUUGUUGUUGUUUUUUUCCUUUUUAUUGGCACAUUAUAAUUAUACAUAACGGUGGGGAGAUUUGUUAUAAUAUAUCCAUACGUGUACACAAUAAAACAGUAUAAUUUGAUCAGUUUCAAACCCCAGUACCUCCCCUUUCCUUCCCCUCCCUCCCCCUGGUCCCCUUUUUCUAUUCUACUGGUCUUCCUUCUAUUUUUUUUUUAUUCUAAUUAGUUAUACAUGACAGUAGGAUGCCUUCUGACACACUGUACACAAAUGGAGCACAACUUCUCCUUCCUCAGGCUGUAUAUGGUGCAGGACACACCAGUAGUGUAAUCAUACAUGUAUAUAGGAUCAUGACUGUCUCAUUCUACUGUCCUUCCCAUCCCCACAGCCACACCCCUCCCCUCACUCCCCUCUGCACAAUCUAAACUUCCUUCAUUCUUCCCUACCUUUCCCAACUAUGGAUCAGCAUCCGCUUAUGAGAGAAAACAUUUGCCAAGUCUUGUUUUUGUUUUUUUGAGACUGGCAGCUUCCAGUUAAGUUGCUCAAACUGCCUCAAACUUGCAAUCCUCUUGACUCUGCCUCCCAAGUCACUGGUAUUAUAGAGUAUAUCAUCACACCUGGCAAAACACAGAAUAUUAACAGAAAUUGUUCAGAUUGCUAAUGGAGACAACUGAGCAAAUAAAGAUUACUAGGUGAAAAAUAAUGUACUGUACUAAUUUCUUUAAUAUCUUAAAUUCAGGCUUCUAAAGAAACAGGAGCUAUAUUUAUACCAAAAGGUAAGGAUAUAUAAAGGUGCUUCAAGCACUGAAAAACAGGUAGUUUUAGAACUCUUUUGUCUAUUAAAAAAAAAUUAGCAUGGGUAAGUUGGUUUACUGGAUAAUACAUCUUAUUAUGAUGUGUUCUCUCGUGUCUUUCAGAUAUAGAACUCUGCAGCUGAUUUCAUUAGCUAUACCAGAAGAAGAGUGAAGGAGUGAAGGAGAGAUCUCAACCACCCAAAAGAACUUCACUGUGGCAAUCGGGGGAUUGGUUACACUUCAUCAGACAAAAAGGAAUUGUUUGAAAGUACUGGAAUGGUAUUUUAGUUCAUAGGACUGCCUUCUUCCUGGUUAUUCAUUUGCCUGCAUAACAAAAAUCACUCAUCUUUUUUCAAAUGUUUAUCUCAUUUGAUUAAAAAGAAAAACAUUUUUUAAUGUCUUAGAACACUCUAUAGGUAAAAAGUGCAAGAAUUUAAAAUAUUUUUUAUAUUCCUAUAAUCUCCAAAAGUGUGUUGUAUAUGUUUAAUUCUUAAAAUAAAUGCUAAAUCGGUGAAAUGAGUUAGACAUUAUUACCCUAAGUACAUGUAUGAAGACACGAAUGGUGUGAAAAUACUUUGUUUUACAAUCAGUGACUUGAAAAAUUGUGCUCUAUAUGUGUAAUAUGAAAUGGACUGCAUUCUGCCAUCAUGUAUAACAAAUUAGAACAAAUAAUUUAAUAAAAAAAAAGAAAUGCUAAAUCUAAAAUCAAGUGCAUUGACUGGCUUUGAAGAAUAUGAAGAAAAUUCUUGAUUAAUUAUUUAUACUGAACGACUAAGAAAAAAUUAUUAGUUGCCACUGUAUUAUAUGAUAAAUUUUAGUGUUAAUAAAAGUACGUUUUUUAUUUUAUGAAUAGUAUUCACUAGAAGUCCAGAAGAAAGCAUAAAAUACUAAUUGUAGUCCAUGUUAUUUUAAAAGGGAAAUGUUUAUUUCUCAAAAAUUUUUUCUCAUCAUGUAAUUUUAAGAAGCCACUGUUUAUUUUCCUUGAAUGUUUUAUGGCCUUGAUCAUUUUGUAUAGAUAGUUCCUUAAAAAGCCUGGCUUAAUUAAUAUUAAAAUAACAGUUAUGCAACCAGGCACAGUGGCACAUGCCUAUAAUCCCAGCAGCUCACCAGGCUGAGGCAGGAGAAUCAUGAGUUCAAAGCCAGCCACAGCAACUUAGCGAGGCCCUGUCUCAAAAUAAAAAAGGGCUGGGAAUGUGACUCAGUGGUUAAGUGGCCCUGGGUUCAAUCCCCCAUACAAAAAAAAAUUAGUUAUGCCAAUGAUGCCCUAACAUGACAAAAUCUGUAUCUAAUAGGUGACUGUUUAUCAUUCUGAUAAGCUUUGUUUUGAUGCUGUUCAACCUGUGAUAGAUAUACAAAUUAAAAAAUCAGAAAAAAAAUUAGAAAUAUGAUUACCCAAAAAGGAAACUAUUAUCUAGAUCUGAAUUAAUAACUAGGUAUUCCCAAGUGGUUAAAUGUUAUUAGUUUGUAUUUAUUGAAAGACUGUUAGCUUAAUGACACAAAGUUUAAGUUAAUUCCAGAUGAUGAGUUUACAAAAUCAUACCUUGAAACUUGUAAACAUUGUAAACAUUAUAGAGUAAGAAAAGAUAUUAAAUUAGUAACCUUUAUUUUGCUAAAAAUAGCAGUUUGGCAUUAAUGUUAAAGAAUCUGAAAAAGAAAAAUCUCAAAAUAUCAUAGAGUUUGUCUUCCUGUCAAGGUUUAUUUAAAAAUGUCUUUUGGAAUAAAAGAUACUUAAGGCACUGAAAUUAAAAUUAUGUAUAAAAUUGUUUAUCUCAUUAAGUUAGAUGUUAUUGGGGAACUCCUAAAUAAUUUUCUGGAUAAAUUAUAAUUCCUUUCCACAAGUGCACCUUGAGUAGAAACAUAAGCUAUUGUCAAUUAUAUUUAUAUUUAAAACAAACUCACUUGUAUACUAUACAUAUAAAACACUUUAUACAAUUCAAAUACAUCUCAUUCAAUAAAACCUGUAUUUUUCAAGUAUGAAUUCUCAUAUUCACAGAAGAACAGUUAAAAAUCAGCCUUAAUAAUGUAAUUAAGUGGCUACUGAUUUCUGCUCCUAAUAAUUUAAUAAAACACUUGGUGACUUGAGU